rfam:Ixodes scapularis strain Wikel colony gcontig_1107729167050, whole genome shotgun sequence.
GCAGCCGUCAAAGGGACUGUGAAAUGUCUCCCUUCUUGGUCAGCAUAUCACAGCCACCUUUGAUGAGCUGUA